rnacentral:rRNA from 1 species
UACGUAGGUGGCAAGCGUUGUCCGGAUUUACUGGGCGUAAAGAGCGCGCAGGCGGUCGUUCAAGUCGCGUGUGAAAGCCCCCGGCUCAACUGGGGAGGGUCACGCGAUACUGAUCGACUCGAAGGCAGGAGAGGGUAGUGGAAUUCCCGGUGUAGUGGUGAAAUGCGUAGAUAUCAGGAGGAACACCGGUGGCGAAGGCGGGUCUCUGGGCCGUAACUGACGCUGAGGAGCGAAAGCAUGGGGAGCGAACAGG